rnacentral:rRNA from 1 species
AGUGAACGCUGGCGGUAGGCCUAACACAUGCAAGUCGAACGGCAGCACAGUAAGAGCUUGCUCUUACGGGUGGCGAGUGGCGGACGGGUGAGGAAUACAUCGGAAUCUACUUUUUCGUGGGGGAUAACGUAGGGAAACCCACGCCAACACCGCAUACCACCCACGGCUCAAAGCAGGGCAUCUUCGCACCUCGCGCGACUGAAUGAGCCGAUGUCGGCUUAGCUAGUUGGCGGGGUAAAGGCCCACCAAGGCGACGAUCCGUAGCUGGUCUGAGAGGAUGAUCAGCCACACUGGAACUGAGACACGGUCCAGACUCCUACGGGAGGCAGCAGUGGGGAAUAUUGGACAAUGGGCGCAAGCCUGAUCCAGCCAUACCGCGUGGGUGAAGAAGGCCUUCGGGUUGUAAAGCCCUUUUGUUGGGAAAGAAAAGCAGCAGGUUAAUACCCCGCUGUUCUGACGGUACCCAAAGAAUAAGCACCGGCUAACUUCGUG